UGCACCGUAGCUCAGCCAGGUAGAGCACUAAAACGCGGCCUUCCACAACUUGCCCGCGCCUUGCGCAUGGGCCGAAGGAGAGUCGUUAUCAUCAACCAUGAAGAUGUCGCGGGUUCGAAUCCCGCCGGUGCAACCA
rnacentral:tRNA from 1 species